CCUACGGGGGGCAGCAGUGGGGGAUAUUGCACAAUGGGGGGAACCCUGAUGCAGCGACGCCGCGUGGGUGAAGGAGUGCUUCGGCAUGUAAAGCCCUAUCGGCAGGGAAGAAGCAAGACGGUACCUGACUAAGAAGCCCCGGCUAACUACGUGCCAGCAGCCGCGGUAAUACGUAGGGGGCGAGCGUUAUCCGGAUUCACUGGGUGUAAAGGGAGCGUAGACGGCAGUGCAAGUCCGGAGUGAAAGCCCGGGGCUCAACCCAGGGACUGCUCUGGAAACUGCAGGGCUGGAGUGCGGGAGGGGCAGGCGGAAUUCCUGGUGUAGCGGUGAAAUGCGUAGAUAUCAGGAGGAACACCGGCGGCGAAGGCGGCCUGCUGGACCGUAACUGACGUUGAGGCUCGAAAGCGUGGGGAGCAAACAGGAUUAGAUACCCCAGUAGUC
rnacentral:rRNA from 1 species